UCAGGCAAGUGGCAACAUGCUAAUUUUCUUGUUGGCUCAAAGCAAGCAUGGAAUUGGAUGGCCAGUAUGGUUUUUUGUUUAUCAGGCAACAUGCUAAUUUUCUUGUUGGCUCAAAGCAAGCAUGGAAUUGGUCCAAUUGGAAGGCAACAGCAACAACUAGCAAGUGGUAGCAACAGCAGCAAAGUGGUAGCAACAGCCAACAGCAGCAAGCUUAAUUGUUGGCAGUAUGGUUUAAAUAAAGUAUGGUUUUUUGUUUAUCAGGCAACAACAACAACUAGCAAGUGGUAGCAACAGCAGCAACUAGCAACUAGCAAGUGGAUUAUGUUGUUAUGGAACUGUUAACUAAUAACUAGUAACUGUGUUGUUAUGGAACUGUUAUCUAUUAACUGUGUUGUUUAUGGGACUGUUAACUAGUAAAUGCGUUGUUUAUGGAACUGUUUAACUAGUAACUGUGUUGUUUAUGGAACUGUUAAUGGAUUGUAGGAAAUGUGUUUGUUGUUUAUGGAUUGUAGGAAUUAAACUGUGUUGCUGAUAUUUCUUUUUAAUUCGGUUAUUAACCGAAUAACCGAAUAUCCUAUUCGGUUAUUCAGUUAUUCGGUUAUUCGGUUAGUGCAAAAUUCGGUUACUUGUUCGGAUAGUUAAAACAGUGCUUUUUCGGAUACCGGUUAUAACCGAAUUACUGGUUCAGUUCGGUUAUUAACCGAAUGCUCAGUCCUACUUGAGAGCUUCCAUGAUAACUUCACUUUGUUACCCAACCUAAG
rnacentral:lncRNA from 1 species